rnacentral:rRNA from 1 species
UACGAGGGGAGCUAGCGUUGUUCGGAAUUACUGGGCGUAAAGCGCGCGUAGGCGGCUUUGCAAGUCGGAUGUGAAAUCCCCGGGCUCAACCUGGGAACUGCAUUCGAGACUGCAUAGCUAGGGUGCGGAAGAGGGAAGCGGAAUUUCCGGUGUAGCGGUGAAAUGCGUAGAUAUCGGAAGGAACACCAGUGGCGAAAGCGGCUUCCUGGUCCAGCACCGACGUUCAGGCACGAAAGCGUGGGGAGCAAACAGG